AACGAACGCUGGCGGCGUGCCUAACACAUGCAAGUCGAACGAGAAAGGGGCUUCGGCCCUGAGUAAAGUGGCGCACGGGUGAGUAACACGUGGGUAACCUGCCUCUGAGAUCGGGAUAACCUGUCGAAAGACGGGCUAAUACCGGAUAAGACCACGAUUCCUGCGGGGAUUGAGGUCAAAGGUAGCCUCUGCAUGCAAGCUAUCACUUAGAGAUGGGCCUGCGUACCAUUAGCUAGUUGGUAGGGUAAAGGCCUACCAAGGCAACGAUGGGUAGCUGGUCUGAGAGGAUGAUCAGCCACACUGGAACUGAGAUACGGUCCAGACUCCUACGGGUGGCAG
rnacentral:rRNA from 1 species